rnacentral:rRNA from 1 species
UGGGGAAUAUUGCACAAUGGGCGCAAGCCUGAUGCAGCCAUGCCGCGGGUAUGAAGAAGGCCUUCGGGUUGUAAAGUACUUUCAGCGGGGAGGAAGGGAGUAAAGUUAAUACCUUUGCUCAUUGACGUUACCCGCAGAAGAAGCACCGGCUAACUCCGUGCCAGCAGCCGCGGUAAUACGGAGGGUGCAAGCGUUAAUCGGCAUUACUGGGCGUAAAGCGCCCGCAGGCGGUUUGUUAAGUCAGAUGUGAAAUCCCCGGGCUCAACCUGGGAACUGAAUCUGAUACUAGCAAGCUUGCGUCUCGUAGAGGGGGGUAGAAUUCCAGGUGUGGCGGUGAAAUGCGUAGAGAUCUGGAGGAAUACCGGUGGCGAAGGCGGCCCCCUGGACAAAGACUGACGCUCAGGUGCGAAAGCGUGGGGAGCAAACAGG